AUUACCUGUGAUGGUAUUAGGCCCUUUGUGAGCUUCGCCAGGGAAUAUGAUCUUCUGCCCGUUUUUAAUUCCUAUAUCCACGUGGACUUCCAAUAUUUUCUUCUCCAGCACAACCUUGUCACCCUUGCACUGCUGGCAGCGGUCCUCGGCACGAAUGGUCUGGCCAGUGCCCUUGCACUCAUAACAGUAGUACUGCGUUUGCUGCGUCAAAUUUUGGCUUAAAUGGCGUACAGUGACUUUAUAACCAUGCCCUUGGCAACCACGGCACGUCCUUGAAGCACCUGACUUUGACCCUUUGCCCUUGCACUUGGUGUAGAUCUUGUUGCGAGUGACAGCAAGCUUUCUGGUUGUGCCGGUCAGUGGCGGACGCACGUAGGGACGAGUGGGGGCAGCUGCCCCCAGUGAACUUUUAUUUUUGUUGAACCGGUCUCCGUUUUGCCCCCACAAUCAAUAUCCAAGAUUCCAAAUACUUGUUCUUCUCCUUCCUCCGAUCUAAUUCCAUCUGCAUGCUGGCUUUUCUGUCAUCCCUUGCUUAAGUGACCCCCUGAUUCGGAUUUUGUAUCCACUGAUCUGCACCUCCAUCUACUUCUCAUACCUUGAUUCCGGAUCGAUCAGGCUCCGAAGUACAAAGGUUGCUGGGGUGGGAAAGAGAAGAGGAGGGAUUCAAGAUUGUGGUGGACUUCGGGGGGAGGAUUUGGGUUUGUUUCUGGAGAGGUGGAUUCGAAAAUUUUGAUCGAGUUUGGGGGAUAGUUUUCAGCAGGAAAAGAGAUUAGCUACUACUUUGACAACUAUGAUGUUCCUCAGGGACAGUUGUUUGAAUUUCAAGUCCAUCUGCAUAGCAGCAGAGUAUUCAUGGGGGCUGUUUUUUUAUAUCUAUUUGAUGAUGCUAGUGAUACAUCAGAUGAUAGAUCGAUGGUCUAUCAUGAUAAGGUAGUACAUGCUCCUGGUUCGUCAUGUCAAAAGCAUGGGAAUGGUCCUCUGGUUGGGGUGAAAAGAUUUAUUUCUCUUGUUGGCGGGUGAUAUCUACAAUAUAGCAGUAUAUGUUUAGGUGCUUUAUUCACAAUUCAUGUACUAAAUGAAAAUCUAUCAAUCUAUUUGAUAUAAAAUAUAGCGAUUGAAGUUUUGUUUCAUUUAUACGAA